CAACUUUUCCUCACACCCCGACGCCGCUCCUUCCCCGCCGCCGCCAACUCCGCGCCGGGGCAUCUCCCUCAGGCCGGGCGGGAAGGGCGCGGGGAGGCCGGGCUCUGAGACGCCCGCGGGGCCCGGGUCGGCGGAGCAGGACGGCGGGGCCGGGACGCGGCCGCAGCGCCGGCGGAGGGGCAGGAAGAGGGGCGGCGAAGCGCGGCGGGGGCGGGAAGGAGCCCCCCGGGCGCUGAGUCGAUGGCCGCCGCCGAGGGGAAGCCGGGGCCGCCGGGAGACGGGCGGGGACGGGGGGACGCGGCGGCGGGAGGGGGCAGGAGCCCGGGGCGGGCGGCGGGGGGAUAGUCGUUCGCCUCCCUGACAGGCGGCGCGGGAGAGACGGGCGGGCGCUCCGGGCACAGGGAGGGCAUCCUUUAAAAAACCCUUCUACAAACAAGCCCCCAAGAACUGCAGGCGUUUAAAUUUUCUCCUCUGCUGUUUUAAAGCUAAGGGUGGCAACCAAAGCAUAAGCAGGAGCCUGAACCAGCCUAAACGCAGAACAGAGCCAAGACCUCCACACGGCAAGAGGUAGCUGAAGGGCAACCAAGGCACAGUAAGUUGUUGACCAUGGCCCCGUUUCCAGACCCUCUUUGUGAGGGACAGUGCUCGUGUCCUCCACGCUUGCGGAGGGCUGGGAAGACCCUGAGCACCGAGCAUCCUCAGCUGCCUCCCACUCUCCAGAGCUGGAGCUUGCUCGUCCCCUUCAGAGGGCUCAGCAGGGCUGAGGAACACCCAGCCAGCACCACACCAGAGGUCAAAGUGACCCCUUUACCCACCUUCUUUAUUAAUGGAGCUUAUGAGGUUUCUUCCUUUAUAUGCUGCAUGUAUUAUCUAUUAGAAGAUUAAAUGUAUUAUAUUUAAUAAUUGCAUGCAUCAUAGCUCAAAGUGUUACCACCACCUGUAUUUUUUUCCCCAGUUUAAUGUUUACCAGUAGAGAAGCACAAGGUAUGGACACAGGCAGGUACAGACAACAACUCUUAAAAUGGAGGACUGAUCCAACACGUCACCACUACUGCUGUGGAAGCUUAAGUGCACUUGGUUCCAUCCUCUUUCUCCAACUUUCCUUGACCAGUAUUAUAUUGUGUUUAAGAUCAGCAUUCAAUGUGGUGCUGUAUUAUUGAAGCUGGCUUGUUUUGCUCAACUUUAUUUUUAAAUAUCUGGUCAUCUUAAACUCAUUCAUAUAAUCUGAAAACCUUUUAACCUUAAACAAAAAAAAAUUAAGAUGACUACAUUGUUGAAGAUCUACUAAGAUUACAGAACGUGGACCCUAGUAUUCCUCUAUAUAGUAAGAAUAUCAUAUAACUUAAUUUCAUGAUUGCUAAUCUUAUUUUUCAUGCUGAUACUGUGUGUACGUGCAUGCAUGCAAGACAGUGAACGAGAAGAAGGGAGAGACCUGCAUUUGGAGCUCUUAGGUGCUUCGCUUUAUUUUAACUAAUGCAAGUUAUUGCAGGUAGCAGGUGCAUUUCUUCUUGCAUAAAUAUUCAUUCUGAAGAGUCUCAAACUUAUCAGAACGUAGCAAAACGUACCCAGAAUUUGGCAUUUUUCAAUGGCAAGGAAGACAAACAUCUAACUAUUUCUUUGCUUCCCUCAGCCCAAACGUUUACUUUCCCAAACUGUGAGCCUGGGAUGAUUCCUUGGAGAAGGAUGGAUAUAAAAUACACAAUACUUGGUUGAAGCCGGCAGAGCGCCUUGAGGGAAAUACAAAACACUCUGCAGUGCAAUAGAUAGCAUCAGAAAUGUGGCUUCCCUUUACCUGGGGUUCCACUGAGGCAAAGGAGUAUUUUUCUCCCCCAUCCUUACACCAGCUGAACAACACAGUGAGACUAUAGAUGCUGCCACAAGGAAGCAUGAAGAUAUUUAGCCUGUCUCUACUCCUGGUGAUUAACAGUUUUCAAACUUUUUUUUUUUGGUGGGGGUGGGUGGUGUCAGUAAGAGUAGCUGUGCACCUUGUUUUCAUUUCUAUUAAUAAUACCUGAUGGAAGGAACCAAGAAUAAAAAUACUUCCUCAUAAGAAUGUGUCAGAUCCCUUAUAUCUGUGCUUUAAGCAGAUCAUACAGUUGUCUGUGGGAAGAAAGCUAAUGGUAGAGGUUGUACCUCCAAGUACAGCUUAAAAGUUUAGUUUUUGUUUUGAUUUCAACCUUUGACUUUUGCCGUUUGUUCUAUGUGACCUUUCUUACAGUUGGAAAUUACUGGGGCAAAUGCUAUGCUCUUUCAUCCUCAAGUUGUUGUAGGAGAGGGUGGUAAGUGUCUUGUUCAAGUAGAUUAUGUCAUCCAUGGAUUCCCCUGCUGGAAAGCCUUUCAGAUGAUGGAGUAAGCCUUGACAGAAAGAAAUGCAUAGAUUCAUAUUUAAUUUAAAAAUAAUCUUGGAAUAGCAAAGGAAAAUUUACAACUUUCUGCAUCCUGUCCAAAUUAAAUGAUUUAAUGAUGUUUAUCAGAGAGAGAGAUAUACGGACAUACACAACAUCACGUAGCACUGAUGAGUAUGCUCGCUAAAAAUUGCUUCCUCUUAAAUACAUGUUACAAGGAAGAUACUUCUGUCUCCUAAAUGGUCAUUUCUUUUUCUUUUUUUUUUUUUAAAGCAAAAAGCAGCUCUGACUCCAAUUGAAAUGGGAUCAAGAUUUUUAGUUUAGUAACUGUAGUGAAGAAAAAUAAUCUGCAAAAUGUAUGUGACUGAAUAUGUCCUGGAUCAAACUGGAAUUCAAUUUUUCAUAUUAAAUCUUUCAUUGCAAAGCAGUGCAAUAAACUGCUCUCUGAAGACAGAGAAUUUAGACCUUACUGCUUAAAAAUAUUCAAUAGAAGUGACUUGAAAUGAGCUCUUCAGGGGCAACUCAAUCACAACACAGCCUUACAAGGGCUGCUGCUGAUGGAAAGCUAGAAACACUGAGGAACCUAAGUGAGGAAUUUGCAGAGGAAUGCCAGGUCUUUAUAGAGAUCAAAACAGGUUAAAAUUCCAUAUCCAACACUGGAACAGAAAGCUUGAAAAACCCCACUGAAGAAAGAACAGACCACAGAGCAGCAGCAUCCCCACUCUUCUAAAUCCCAAGCGUAACACUGCUUUUUGUAUCAGAGCAAAGAGAAAUUCAGUGUUCACUGCAUUAAUUGUGUGGAUAUAAAUGAGUUGUCUCCUCUAUGUAAAAUCAAAUCAUGCUCUUUACUGUCAUGUUUUUAUUCUUAGAGAUAUUAGUUAAAUAAAGCCCAAUAAUUCUUCCAGACAUUGUGCAACUGUUGUUGAGAUACAAACAGUUUUCAGUGUUAUCAGAAUCAAAACAACAGCCUUCUCUAUCUGCAAAAGGAAAUUAACAUAUUCAUCAGCAAAAUGUGACCUUAGUUCAAGAUUUAACAACAAACCCCCUAAUUAUGCUUUUAGAGUUUUGUUGUUUGGUUGUAGGGGGUUUUUUAAAUAUAUUUUUAAAGUGCUGGACACCACUGAUAAUCUUAGCUUUUAAAGUUAUUUUUAGCUGUUCUCAGCAAACACAAAUACCCUCUAUAAAUACACACUAAUUUGUGAAAAACUGAAGUACUCUUAUAUAGACACAUAUAUCCCAUUCUUUAAGGCCUUACUCAAUCACUUGCUGAUAUUAAAAGUGCUUUUUGUCACCAUUUUAGAAAACAAGUAAUUCUACAUGGAUAUAAAUCAAAAAAAUGACCAAGGCACACAUGUAACAAGUUCUGUGUGUUCUCAUCUGUCCUUAACAGCAAGAUUAAUCUGUCCUUCUGUUACACUGAUGUGCUCAGUCAAAUUCUGACAUUACGCAGUGGGACAAGUUGUGUCGUGUCUGUCAGCGACAUGAAGUUCUGUACAAUGCUGCUUUUUGGCUGCAGGAGGCAAUGCAUGCAGCCAAGCGGUUUUAGGCUGUUUAACUGCUACAUCAGCAGGACAGAAGGCAGAGAAAGAAGAAAGGGAGGACAGGAAGAGAGAGGAUGUUGGGAGGUAGCAGUUUGGAGACCAGACCAGGUACAGCUCCGAGAACAAAGAAUGAAAAAUACCCGUAAGUACCUGCGAGAGGUAGGUGUUUAACUGAAUGGUAUUUCUAAGGGGCUCCCCUGUAUUUAAAAAAGCAGACUUAACACUUGAGGUACACACCUGACUUUCUCCACUGCGCAAAUGAGUUUAUUUUGGGGGGAAACCAUUGAAGACUUUUUCCAUUCCUCAUAUCAUUGUGGUCUGACUUCAGAGCCAAGUACUCACUUUCAAGCGGGAUUUACCAUAAAAUUCUAUGAUAAUAGCAAGCUUAAGCAUACUCUAAAUAAAACAGAUUUCUAAUGGACUUCUAACUGAGAGCUGAUGUAAGAGGGAUGGGUGGAUCCCAGGGGAGAUGAAAUGCUUGCAUAUACUAGGGAUAUGCUACAAGGUGAGCGAACUGAAUCUUUUAUAAGUUCUAAAUCAGUAGGACUUCCUAUAAGUGGAAAGAGUAAUCAUGCCUGUAUCUCGGCUAGUGCUGUGGUUGUAGGGCUGUGGUUUCCAAGUGAGGUGCUGAGAGAAGCCAACAGGAUUGUUUCCUGUUUGCUAGCUUAGACUCCACCCUGCUUGGAGUGUUGGCUCUUUUGAAUGUUAUUUUUUGUAACUUAAGUAUUCCUCACGCAUUCCACAGAGAAUAUAAUUUUCUAACAUAUAGUUUUCUAAUAGCCUAUCUUAGGUCCAUGUGACAAUGAUAACAGGCAAACAAACUAGAGGUAGUUGUGGUUAUUAAUAGAAGCAAAAGGAAAUGUAGCACAAGCCUCAGGUUUCAGCAUAUACGACCCGAAGAAACUCCCAGAAAGGUAGUUUUGCAUGCCCCAUAACUCAAAUCUAAUAGCCACACAAGCCGAAGUUCGGCUGCUAGUCCAAAUCACAUUUGUCUUUCCAUUCUGAAUGCAGUGACAGAUUAGGAGUAUCUGCUUAUUUCAGAGUUCUUUUCUCCUGAGAUUUCUGGUUUGUUUCUUUAAUUAAGAAGGUAAGUCAACACAUUGCCCACAAAGUGAUUUUUUUCAGCAGAUGCUGACAUCAUAGUUUGGCAGACUGAUCUAAUAAAUAAAUAAAUAUUUUCUGGUGCAUAUGUAACAAAUAUUGCUAAUGAAGGAGAAUAUAAAUCAUUUAAAUCCCCAGGUCUUAAUGCUGGAGUACUGCUCUUUUUCAGUAAGCAGCUAAAACAGCAGAGUACGUAGAAGAAUCAUUUUACUGAAAAGAACUAGUGUUAAUGCCAGUAAUUUAGUGAAUCAAGUAAAUACCUCCUGAAAUAUUAUUCUACAUCUAUUUAAGAACUUUGAUAGGUGGUGCUUAUUGUUAAAUAGUAGUAAAAUCAAGUGUAUAAGUAUCUGAGACUGAGGUGCUGGAAAUAACGUCCCCCACAGGAAACGACAUGAAAAUGAUUGUUAUUUUUUGAUCCUCAGCUUCUUUGCAAGCCAUUUGAAGUGAAGAGACAGCAGUAAAAGGCAGUGUUCUCCGUGAAUUACUUGAGCCAAAUAAACCAACUUUGGCGUAACGGAAGCAAUAGUGGGGCCUGAUUCACUCCUGUGCUAAUUUCACUUAUUCCAGUUUAAUGCUGGAGUAACACUGUGG